rnacentral:lncRNA from 1 species
GUUGAUUAGGGAGUUUCAGGAAGGACAGAUUAUGUUCCAAUUGCUGUCAGAAUACAAAAUAGAGAUGUGAAGUGAAUUCUAUCUAGGAAAGGCCUCCUCCAGAAUCCCGCAAUGGGGCUAGUACAACUGCUUUACAGAAGGAAAAAUCCUACAUCCCUCUUCUCAAAACCUUAGGAAAAAAAUCCAUAGAACUGUGGAAUCAGUCCCUAGACAAACACGGGUGGAAGAGUCAAAGCACAAACCUCCUGUGUGGCCCUGAAUGUAGCCUGCAGGUGAUAAGGAACCCUAUGGAGUAGUGGAAGAGGGUAAAGAACUGCAAGAUCAACACUUGGACCUGCAGUCACUAAGGAAACACACUUCCUUUGGUGGUAACCAGAGCACAGUAGCUGCACAAAACUACUCCGUGGUCACAAUUACAACAUGUAGGAAGCCUCAUCUUUUUUUUGAGGAAGGUAGUUUCAGGCCAGCCCCCAUUUGGACUUGAAGGCAAGAGAGAAAUAGGGGAGGAGGAGAACAGAGAACAAUGAUACAACUGGGAAAAGACUG